AGGCCAAAAAGGUUCUACUUCUCCGAAUUAGACCAGGAGAAAGAUAAAGCAAACCCCUUCUUCUUCUACCCACAGGAUGGCAAAGUUGGAAACCCUCCAUCUCCGUUGCCGAUAUUCUUCUCCUUCCUUCGCCUCCCCAGCUCUCUAAAAUAACGCCGGAGUAGAACACCAAAAAAAAAGAAAGAGAGGGGAGGCAGGAGAGAAGGAAACAAAGAACAAUUUAGCUCAGAGGAUCAUAAUAGUAGGGAAGAAUUUUUCUUCCCUCUCUCUUUCCUUUUUCCCAAUUUUUUUCAUCUAGGGUUUCUCCCCGGUGCGGCCGUGAUGCACAGAUCGGGGGCGGUGAUGGCGUGGAACGUGUUCAAGUUUUGCACCGCCUUGCGGGGGCUUGGCUCCAUCAUGAUCCUCCUCGUCCUCGGCAUCGUCGGCGUCACCUACUACGCCGUCGUUGUCACCACCUACGGUCCCGCCGUCUUCAACGCCGGCGCAAUCGAUUCCCUCGCUGCGCUCGCCGUCUUGCUCCUGUUCCAUCUCCUGUUGGUAAUGCUUCUGUGGAGCUACUUCUCUGUAGUCCUGACAGACCCUGGCAGCGUUCCACCAAAUUGGAAGCCAACUGUGGAUGAGGAGAGGGGUGAAGAAGCUCCAUUAAAUAGCCCAGAUUUUGGUAAUCAGAUUCUAAGUUAUCAGCAAUCAGCUAAUCUUGCAGACUCAGGAAGUCCAAGGAUCAGAUACUGUCGGAAAUGCAACCAGUUGAAACCGCCUCGCUGUCAUCACUGUUCUGUUUGUGGCCGAUGCGUAUUGAAAAUGGACCACCAUUGUGUGUGGGUAGUAAAUUGUGUUGGGGCUCUAAAUUAUAAGUUCUUUCUUCUCUUUCUGCUUUACACGUUUCUCGAGACAACUCUUGUUACCCUGUCGCUGUUGCCAAAUUCUAUUGCGCUCUUUAGUGAUGCGGAGAUACCUGGAACACCUGGCACACUUGCAACUACUUUCCUCACAUUUGUGUUGAACUUGGCUUUCGCAUUAAGUGUUCUUGGGUUUCUGAUAAUGCAUAUUUCAUUGGUGGGUGGUAACACAACAACUAUUGAGGCAUAUGAGAAGAAAACAACUCCAAAAUGGAAAUACGAUUUGGGCCGGAAAAAGAAUUUUGAGCAGAGAUAUCAAGCAAAUCUGAUUUAGCACUUGGAAGGUGGUCUCAGACGUUAUCAUGCAUGAGUGAUGGUUGUCAAAUUUGGUGUUUGGAACCGACAAGAAAUAUUGGUUCAUCCCUGCAUAUUCGGAAGAGGAUUUGAGAAAAAUUCCAGCACUUCAGGGCCUUGACUAUCCAACCAAGCCUGACUUCAGUGCUCAGGAGUUUUAACAGGAUUAUACUUGGAUGACAAUUUCCUCCUUAGCAGUCUUUGGGCCACAAGUAGCUUUCUUCAUGCUAUCAAUAUCAUUGUCAUGGUGGUGCUCUGAAAGCUUAAUUUCAGUGCUCUUAAAUGCAUGCCGGCAUUAGCAGUUGGAGUAGAGCAAGAUAGGUAAUGAGAUGGAGAAUAUUUCAAUGUUUCACAUUUCAUUUAAUCUAUACUAUCAUGGAAGUUAGGUCAGUUAUGUGGUUUGUGGUGGUGCCGGUUGUAUGGUCUUUGUUAUGCUCUUUUUUCCUUUCGUGUAGCUGUUGUAUAGAAUAGGCGUUACGCUUGUUAUAUUUACAAUUCAUAAGCCAUAUGCAGUAUAUUAUACAUUGAGAUUAAAUUUACUGAUAUGUUGGGAAAUACAAGAUGAAGGAAUACAUGAGAUGAUGAAAAUGAUUGU